GACAUUGAUAUCCAGCAGCCGGCAUCAGAAACAAUUGAAAUUAGUGAAACUCUUAGGCCGAAUAUUUUGCCAGGUGCAAGACCAUGGAACAGAUGGCGCCCUAGGCCUUCGUGGCCACUUCGACCAAGGCCAAUAGAACCAAUACGCCCAGCUGGUGUCGGAUGGCCUUUAGGAUCAACAGUUAUUGAUGAAAGAGUACCAUCAUUACUACAGCCAGUUCCAGAAGUUGAAACCAUAGAAACAAUAGUUGAACCAGCUGAAAAUGUAGUCAUUGUGAAUAACGAGAUAGGACGACCAGGUCCAAUCGUAUCUCCUACAUGGCCAGUACCAGGUAUUGAUGUAAUCACUUCGGAGACGAUUGUAAAUGAUAACCCUUAUCCAUCUACGGAAGAAAUAGUUGUAGAUACCUCGGUGCCAGUGAACGUUCUUCCUAUCCCAGGAGUGCCAUCUGUUAUUCCACCAGCUUAUGAAGUAAUUACUGCCGAGACAGUCGUAAAUGGAAGACCUAUUAUCAGUUCUGAAGAAAUUAUCAUAGGUA